UGGCGGCAUGCCUUACACAUGCAAGUCGAACGGCAGCACGGAGCUUGCUCUGGUGGCGAGUGGCGAACGGGUGAGUAAUAUAUCGGAACGUACCCUAGAGUGGGGGAUAACGUAGCGAAAGUUACGCUAAUACCGCAUACGAUCUAAGGAUGAAAGUGGGGGAUCGCAAGACCUCAUGCUCGUGGAGCGGCCGAUAUCUGAUUAGCUAGUUGGUAGGGUAAAAGCCUACCAAGGCAUCGAUCAGUAGCUGGUCUGAGAGGACGACCAGCCACACUGGAACUGAGACACGGUCCAGACUCCUACGGGAGGCAGCAGUGGGGAAUUUUGGACAAUGGGCGAAAGCCUGAUCCAGCAAUGCCGCGUGAGUGAAGAAGGCCUUCGGGUUGUAAAGCUCUUUUGUCAGGGAAGAAACGGUGAGAGCUAAUAUCUCUUGCUAAUGACGGUACCUGAAGAAUAAGCACCGGCUAACUACGUGCCAGCAGCCGCGGUAAUACGUAGGGUGCAAGCGUUAAUCGGAAUUACUGGGCGUAAAGCGUGCGCAGGCGGUUUUGUAAGUCUGAUGUGAAAUCCCCGGGCUCAACCUGGGAAUUGCAUUGGAGACUGCAAGGCUAGAAUCUGGCAGAGGGGGGUAGAAUUCCACGUGUAGCAGUGAAAUGCGUAGAUAUGUGGAGGAACACCGAUGGCGAAGGCAGCCCCCUGGGUCAAGAUUGACGCUCAUGCACGAAAGCGUGGGGAGCAAACAGGAUUAGAUACCCUGGUAGUCCACGCCCUAAACGAUGUCUACUAGUUGUCGGGUCUUAAUUGACUUGGUAACGCAGCUAACGCGUGAAGUAAACCGCCUGGGGAGUACGGUCGCAAGAUUAAAACUCAAAGGAAUUGACGGGGACCCGCACAAGCGGUGGAUGAUGUGGAUUAAUUCGAUGCAACGCGAAAAACCUUACCUACCCUUGACAU
rnacentral:rRNA from 1 species